rnacentral:rRNA from 1 species
UAGGGAAUCUUCGGCAAUGGACGAAAGUCUGACCGAGCAACGCCGCGUGAGUGAAGAAGGUUUUCGGAUCGUAAAACUCUGUUGUUAGAGAAGAACAAGGACGUUAGUAACUGAACGUCCCCUGACGGUAUCUAACCAGAAAGCCACGGCUAACUACGUGCCAGCAGCCGCGGUAAUACGUAGGUGGCAAGCGUUGUCCGGAUUUAUUGGGCGUAAAGCGAGCGCAGGCGGUUUCUUAAGUCUGAUGUGAAAGCCCCCGGCUCAACCGGGGAGGGUCAUUGGAAACUGGGAGACUUGAGUGCAGAAGAGGAGAGUGGAAUUCCAUGUGUAGCGGUGAUAUGCGUAGAUAUAUGGGGGAACACCAGUGGCGAAGGCGGCUCUCUGGUCUGUAACUGACGCUGAGGCUCGAAAGCGUGGGGAGCAAACAGG